UGGUGCCUCUGUCAGACUCCUCCCCCUCUCCCCUCUGCUUGGCCUAAUUCACCGCAGCUGCCGCCACUCUACUCAUCAGCCUGCCAGAUCUUCUUAAGGAGCUCCAGGACCAGUACUCAACGCGAGUUCGUUGCCUCUAAUGGAAAACCCUAGCCCACGAGUGAGCGGUCCAGCAGACGUGCCAAGCAAUCUUCCAUCUACACUCACCUCCUGCUGUGGAGCGCUGUUGGAUCUUACGGCUACUCCCACGUCACGGUCAGGUUCCUCGAGCUGCUCCUCCUGUCCGCUUCUGGUCUCGGAUCCACGUACUCCCUCCAGCCACGUCGCCUCCCUGCCGUACCAAGACUACAUCACCAGCUGAAGCAAUAAACCCACUUCUUAUCUUAACUCACCUCCUGUCAUCUUUCCGGGUUCCAGCAUCUGGGUCUGUCUAGCCUAGCCAGUCAUGACA